AUGCAGAGAUUUAAAGGCCACAGCAUGGUUAUAUUAAAUUGUGGUAUACCCAAAAUCAUGUUGGAAUUAACUUUAAUUUCUUUUUGUAACAUUGUAAAUCAGAUUACACUUCAUCUCAAAGAAUCCAGAACUCGUGAUUUACAAUUGAUUUUCUACAUUUUGAAUCUCUACACUAUGCAGCAGCUUGCCUUCUCUCCAGGAUCUAGAAAUGAGGAUCCUGAGCCUUGCACGUGACCACCAGACCAGCACAACCAUUUCACGCUUGGCACUGAAGAAGGGACCAAUCCUGCAGUAUAACGUAUAUUUCCUAAACCACCUAAGGCUAAAGCCUUUUGGCUGAGGAAGACUUUUGGGGAAGACUUUUGGGUGUGCUGAAACCUGUCUGAUACCUUGCCUUCAAGCUUCCAGUUUCCCAGCAGUGUCCUUGCACAAUGUGAAGGCACUUGUCCUCAUUCAGGGCUGUGUACAUGCUAUAUCGAAAAACUUAACAUGUUAUGUAUGCAAAUGAAUCAAAACAUAUACAUUGAUGCACUGAAAUUUGGGAGUGUCAUCUUUCUCAGCACCUCGUAGACUGGCCUGGUUGAACAGAGCCCCAAAUCCUCGACUUUCCUAAGAGCAGGUGAUAUAUUAAGACAAGAGCAUAUUAUGCAGUAAGACAUUAACAAUGAAUCUGAAAAGGUAUUGUGAAUGUUAAAAUUGUACUGACUAAAAUAUACUGAGGUUAAAAUACAGGGUAACUUUACAAAUCACUAUUAAUUUCUUUGGCUUUCAUUGCAAUAACAUUGAUUUAAUUCAUUAGAAUCCUUUCUAAAUCUAUAUUUCAGUUUUAGAGUUGUCAGUUUCUGUUAAUGACAAUUUAGCCCAUCUGUUCUAACAUGAAAAUGAGGCUUCAUGCAGUAGACAUGAUAGAUCUCUAAUAGUUGAAGAAGUAAGAAUCUUAAAGGUAUUUCAUUUGGAUUGUAUCCACUUUGAUGCAAUUCACCCUUGAAAUCAAGCCUAGUACUAAAAACUUUUAACUGUGUAAUCAAAAAAACAAAAAUGUCAUAUCUUGUCAUUUAGGCCACUGUCUAUUUCAUAAUUUACAUCAAAAAUUUCAAAACAUUCCCACUCAUUCUCUCUCUAAUGACAGAGCCAUAAUUUUGGGUGUCAGCAUAUCAGAAUUCCACUGGAUGUGAUUAGAAUAAGAAUUAGUUUCUUUAAUUUGGCCAUUCAAACGGUAAUAUUACUACAGUAAGUCAUUCUACUGAACAAGCCAGUGCCGCCAAGCUAGGUUACAACUUAGGUUUCAAUACAGGUUUAAAACUUCAGUUCCUUGCACAGGUCAAUCUUCUGAAGGGGUAAUUUUUCAAAGCAGUGUGUGAGUCUUAAGCACACAAAUCCAGUUAGCAAAUAACAAGAUUAUGUUCUGUGCACUGCUUUGAAAAUUUAUCCCUAAUAUCCUAGAGAUAGGAGCACAGUUAUUGCACACAUUACAUAUGAGGUAUAAUUUAAAUUGUUUUUUAGUAAGCAGUUCCCUGCAUUUGUGUAAUGCAGUGCUAUUCUGGGGAAAAAUGCUCAGCUAAUUAUUCAGUCUAGAAAAAUAAACACAUCCAUUAAAGGCUAGGCUACA
rnacentral:lncRNA from 1 species